AACGAACGCUGGCGGCAGGCCUAACACAUGCAAGUCGAGCGAGGACUUCGGUCCUAGCGGCGGACGGGUGAGUAACGCGUGGGAACGUGCCCUUUGCUUCGGAAUAGCCCUGGGAAACUGGGAGUAAUACCGGAUGAGCCCUUUGGGGGAAAGAUUUAUCGGCGAAGGAUCGGCCCGCGUUGGAUUAGGUAGUUGGUGGGGUAAUGGCCUACCAAGCCGACGAUCCAUAGCUGGUUUGAGAGGAUGAUCAGCCACACUGGGACUGAGACACGGCCCAGACUCCUACGGGAGGCAGCAGUGGGGAAUCUUAGACAAUGGGGGAAACCAUGAUCGAGCCAUGCCGCGUGAGCGAUGAAGGCCUUAGGGUUGUAAAGCUCUUUCAGCUGGGAAGAUAAUGACGGUACCAGCAGAAGAAGCCCCGGCUAACUCCGUG
rnacentral:rRNA from 1 species